GUUUGGUAAUGAUUAGGUAGUUGUGAGUUCUAUUAUUGGUGUGCUUUUUCACAGAUUCUCAUAGUACACUAUCUGAUUCUUGGGGAUUUGGUGGGUACUUUUAGUACGAAUUCAGGAAUUGUUAGGAUUUAUCUUCAAUGGUUUUUUGUUUGAGGAUUGGAUUUCUCUACAGUGGCUGAAUCUUUGUUUGGUUUGUUUCCCAUUUCAUUCUUUUAUGGCUUUCUGCUUUAUCCUUAGGUAGUAUUUAUUUGGCAUUAUUAGCAAGCCAUAUUUAUUGGGUGAGGAUUAGUUUUUCUUACUUGUAUACAGAAGAAAUCUUGGGAAAAUGUAAACUUAGUUUGCAGGAAGUUUUGUUUUUGUUUGUUCUUCAAUAUUCUCAAAUAGGGUGUAUUGCACCUCUUUGCAAGUCGCAACUCCACAUAUUGGAGGCUACUGUGGGUGAAUAGUAACUUCUCUUUUGUGGGUGACUUGAAA
rnacentral:misc_RNA from 1 species